UGACCGAUAGAGGAGCAGUACCGUGAGGGAAAGGUGAAAAGGACCCCGGGAGGGGAGUGAAAGAGAACCUGAAACCUUGUGCUUACAAGCAGUCAGAGGCCGUUAAUGGCUGAUGGCGUACUUUUUGUAGAACGGUCCGGCGAGUUAUAGUAACGAGCAAGCUUAAGGUGUUCAGCACCGGAGGCGCAGCGAGAGCGAGUCUGAAUAGGGCGUAUGAAGUUCGUUGCCAUAGACCCGAAACCGGGUGACCUACCCAUGAGCAGGUUGAAGUGGGGGUGAAACCCCAUGGAGGACCGAACCGACCCCCGUUGCAAUGGUGGCGGAUGACUUGUGGGUAGCGGUGAAAUUCCAAUCGAACUCGGAGAUAGCUGGUUCUCCCCGAAAUAGCUUUAGGGCUAGCGUUAUGUUAGAUUACCGGAGGUAAAGCACUGAAUGGUCUAGGGGCUGAUAAAGUUACCGACGCCUAUCAAACUCAGAAUGCCGGCUAAUUGAUGCAUAGCAGUCAGACAGUGUGAGAUAAGUUUCAUUGUCAAAAGGGAAACAGCCCAGACCCACAGCUAAGGUCCCAAAGAUACGCUAAGUGGAAAACGAUGUGGAAUUGCGAAAACAACCAGGAUGUUGGCUUAGAAGCAGCCACUCAUUAAAAGAGUGCGUAAUAGCUCACUGGUCGAGUGACUCUGCGCCGAAAAUUUAACGGGGCUAAACUAUACACCGAAGCUUGGGAUACAUCUAAUGUAUGGUAGGAGAGCGUUCUGUAUGGGGAGAAGUCGUAGCGAAAGCGGCGGUGGACUAUACAGAAGUGAGAAUGCCGGAAUAAGUAGCGAGAAUUAAGUGAGAAUCUUAAUGGCCGAAAGUCUAAGGUUUUUGGAGGAAGGUUCGUCCGCUCCAAGUAAGUCGGGAGCUAAGGUCAGGCCGAAAGGCGUAGCCGAUGCACAUACGGUUGAUAUUCCGUAACCAUCUGUAAUUUAAGCAAAGGGACACUUCAAAAGGGUGUGACCCGGGCGUUGGUUGACCCGGGCGUAAGGGACCGAAAUUAGAGUAGGGAAGCACACUUAGCUGAAGGCGAGAAAAGCUUUGCGUAUAGAAGCAGAUGCCCGUACCGCAAACCGACACAGGUGGACAGGAAGAGAAUUCUAAGGCCAGCGGGAGAAGGGUAGUUAAGGAACUCGGCAAAUUGACUCCGUAACUUCGGAAUAAGGAGUGCUCGAAAGAGCCGCAGAGAAUAGGCCCAGGCGACUGUUUAGCAAAAACACAGGUCUCUGCCAAAUCGAAAGAUGAAGUAUAGGGGCUGACACCUGCCCGGUGCCGGAAGGUUAAGAGGAGGAGUGAGAGCUCCGAAUUGAAGCCCCGGUAAACGGCGGCCGUAACUAUAACGGUCCUAAGGUAGCGAAAUUCCUUGUCGGGUAAGUUCCGACCCGCACGAAUGGUGUAACGAUCUGGGCACUGUCUCAACUACCCACCCGGCGAAAUUGUAGUACCGGUGAAGAUGCCGGUUACCUGCGGCAAGACGGAAAGACCCCAUGGAGCUUUACUGUAGCCUGAUAUUGGGUUUCGGAAAUCUAUGUACAGGAUAGGCGGGAGACUGGGAAACAUGAGCGUCAGCUUGUGUGGAGUCGAUGUUGGGAUACCGCCCUUAGGUUUCUGGAAUUCUAACCUGCGGCCGUGAAUCCGGUCGGGGGACAUUGUCAGGUGGGCAGUUUGACUGGGGCGGUCGCCUCCGAAAAGGUAACGGAGGCGCUCAAAGGUUAGCUCAGCACGGACGGAAACCGUGCCUCUGAGUGUAAACGCAAAAGCUAGCCUAACUGCGAGGGUGACGGCCCGAGCAGUAACGAAAGUUGGAGUUAGUGAUCCGGCGGUAUGUGAAUGGAAAUGCCGUCGCUCAACGGAUAAAAGCUACCCUGGGGAUAACAGGCUGAUCUCCCCCAAGAGUCCACAUCGACGGGGAGGUU
rnacentral:rRNA from 1 species